GUGGAGUUGUGUUCUAUUCUUUUGGUUACGUGGGUAUAUAGAAUGUGUAUAUUACUACAAGCGUCACAUAGCAUUACCAUGGUAACGCAGACAGAACUGUGG